UACGUAGGGGGCAAGCGUUGUCCGGAUUUAUUGGGCGUAAAGAGCUCGUAGGCGGUUUGUCGCGUCUGCUGUGAAAACUGGAGGCUCAACCUCCAGCCUGCAGUGGGUACGGGCAGACUAGAGUGCGGUAGGGGAGAUUGGAAUUCCUGGUGUAGCGGUGGAAUGCGCAGAUAUCAGGAGGAACACCGAUGGCGAAGGCAGAUCUCUGGGCCGUAACUGACGCUGAGGAGCGAAAGCAUGGGGAGCGAACAGG
rnacentral:rRNA from 1 species